AACGCACAUUGCGCCCGCCAGUAUUCUGGCGGGCAUGCCUGUUCGAGCGUCAUUUCAACCAUCAAGCCCCUGUGCUUGUGUUGGAGCCCUGCGGCUGCCGCAGGCUCCCAAACCCAGUGGCGGGCUCGUCGUCGUACCGAGUGCAGUAAAUUUACCACGCUCAGGGCACGCGACGGGUGACCGGCCGUAAAACCCCCCCUUCUCAAGGUUGACCUCGGAUCAGGUAGGAAUACCCGCUGAACUUAA
rnacentral:misc_RNA from 1 species